CUCUUGUACCGUGCAACUGCGAAUGGCUCAUUAAAUCAGUUAUCGUUUAUUUGAUAGUACCCUACUACAUGGAUACCUGUGGUAAUUCUAGAGCUAAUACAUGCGCCAAACCCCGACUUCGGAAGGGGUGUAUUUAUUAGAUAAAAAACCAAUGCCCCUCGGGGCUCCUUGGUGAUUCAUAAUAACUUCACGAAUCGCAUGGCCUUGCGCCGGCGAUGGUUCAUUCAAAUUUCUGCCCUAUCAACUUUCGAUGGUAGGAUAGUGGCCUACCAUGGUGGCAACGGGUAACGGGGAAUUAGGGUUCGAUUCCGGAGAGGGAGCCUGAGAAACGGCUACCACAUCCAAGGAAGGCAGCAGGCGCGCAAAUUACCCAAUCCCGAUACGGGGAGGUAGUGACAAUAAAUACUGAUACAGGGCUCUUUUGGGUCUUGUAAUUGGAAUGAGAACAAUCUAAACCCCUUAACGAGGAACAAUUGGAGGGCAAGUCUGGUGCCAGCAGCCGCGGUAAUUCCAGCUCCAAUAGCGUAUAUUAAAGUUGUUGCAGUUAAAAAGCUCGUAGUUGAACCUUGGGCCCGUCCUGCCGGUCCGCCUCACCGCGAGUACUGGUCCGGAUGGGCCUUUCUUUCUGGGGAAUCCCAUGGCCUUCACUGGCUGUGGCGGGGGAACCAGGACUUUUACUGUUGAAAAAAUUAGAGUGUUCAAAGCAGGCCUUUGCUCGGAUACAUUAGCAUGGAAUAAUAGAAUAGGACGUGCGGUUCUAUUUUGUUGGUUUCUAGGACCGCCGUAAUGAUUAAUAGGGAUAGUCGGGGGCGUCAGUAUUCAGCUGUCAGAGGUGAAAUUCUUGGAUUUGCUGAAGACUAACUACUGCGAAAGCAUUCGCCAAGGAUGUUUUCAUUAAUCAGGGAACGAAAGUUAGGGGAUCGAAGACGAUCAGAUACCGUCGUAGUCUUAACCAUAAACUAUGCCGACUAGGGAUCGGGCGGGGUUUUUAUGAUGACCCGCUCGGCACCUUACGAGAAAUCAAA
rnacentral:rRNA from 1 species